rnacentral:lncRNA from 1 species
UUACCCUGUCGCAAAUCAUUUCCAAUCUUUUACUUUUCUGCUACACUAUCAGAGAGGCAACUCUUCAGCAUUUUCUUUUGAAAAAUCCUUGAACUCAUACAUAGACGCUGCAAGCCUUUCACUUUGCGAUUCUCAAACCCUCCUUCUCCAUUGCGAUCAGCACGGAACUUGGGAUGUCUCUUUCCAGGUAUUGACCUUCACCCCUCUUUAAUGCUUCCUUGGCUAUGAAAUGGGCAAAAUAGUUUCCUGUCUUUGGAAUAAAACGAAAUCGAAGAUCUUGAAAAUGGUUUUUCGUACUCUGAAUAUCUCUUAUGAUUGCCCCGAUCAUCGAUUUGUCUUGUUUUGCACUCUGACAUUUUAUAAUCACCGAUCUUGAAUCUCCUACUACUUCAAGAACCUGUAAACCCAUGUCGAUCCCUUGCUUGAAAACCUGCAUGUGCUUCUGCUGCAAACGGAGACGCCACAUCGGAAUGAAGCACAGACUUGGAUGCCAAAAUGUUGCCCACCACAUCUCGUACUACUAGCCCUGACACCGAACAGAAAGAUUGUUGAUCAAAAGCCGUAUCAAAGUAAAUAGCCACGGAUAUCCUCUAGUCAUGAUAUUCGGGUCUCCUGCCUUAUUCCAAGAUAAGCUCUUUUUCCUCUACUCCCUUUAACUCUGAGAUAAAACUGAAGAUUUGCUUUGAUAUGUCUCUGCUUGUUGUGAUUUUCCUUUCAUAUAUUAACUUGUUUCGAUUUGUCCAGAUUAACCAUAACCCGUAGCAGAAGAGCCGACACUGCUCCUUUGUACCUUGACUAAACACCCAAGUAAGCCACUCCCAUACAUUUUGAGAAUCAUUAUUGAGCAUCUAUACAGAAUUUAAACAUCUCCAUACUUCUAUCGAUGUAGGGCACUGUUGGAAAAUGUGGCUGAUGUUCUCCCCAUUUUGCUGACACCUCGGACAUAGAUCUUCAACAGUAACUCUUUUCAGCUUGAGAUUCGAAAAAUUGGGAAUAAAAUCCCAAGAAAUCUUCCACACUGUAAUUUUUAUUUUCGAUGGCAUGUUCAUGGUCCACAGUUUCCUGUAAAAAGCUUUAGUAUCGGCCUGUAUAUGAUUACUAAUAUUAGGAGUAGAUAGGCACUUCUCACUGAGAAGUUACCUAAUGGUUCUCCCCUCCAAACUUGAAAAUCGUCGAGGGCUGACUUUGCCAAGGGGAUCCGCAUAAUCCUUCUAGUAAUAUUCUCUUGAAAGGUAUUAGCAAUUAAUUCAGUCUUCCAUCUUCUAUUUUCACCAUCAAUUAAGUCUGAAACUAACACUAUAUUUUCGUUGUUGUUUAUAUUUUGUAUUCUAUCUUCAUUGCUACCCGGUACUUAGAGAUCUGACCAAAGCAAGAUACUAUCCACCUUGCCAACUCUCCAACAUAAGCCCUUUUCUAGCAAUCAUUUAGCUGACCAGAUGCUCUUCCAGGUAAGUGAAGGUGAGUUCCCUAAACGAGCUUUUAAAAAACUUGACUGCGCAUAAUAUUUAGCUUUCAAAAUGUGGGCUAACAAAGAAUUGAGAUAAUUAACAAGACGCCAACCCUGUUUAGCUAGUAAUGCGAUAUUAAAAUUAUCAAGUUUUCUGAAGCCGAGACCUCCAUCUUCUUUUAACGAACACAAAUCCUUCCAUGCACACCAGUGUAUACCCUUUCUAUCUUUAUUUUUCCUCCACCAAAAUUUUGUAAUUAUGCCCUCCAAAUCGGCACAUAACGACUUAGGAAGCAAGAAAUAUGCCAUUGAGUAAGUAGGAAUAGACUGUAGAACCGCUUUGAUAAAAACUUCUUUGCCACCUUGAGAAAGAUGUUUUAUGCUUUAAUUAUCAAUCCGUUAAUGUAGUCUACCUUUCAAAUUUUGAAAAGACGCUUUUUAUAUCUACCCACUAAAUUAGGUAGACCUAGAUAUCCUUUCGGAUCAGUUGAACUGCGUACUCCGAGCACUCUAGUUACUACUCUUUUGAUCUCCUCCUGCGUAUUCGUGCUGAAAAAAUAGUUGAUUUUGAAUAAUUGAUAUUUUGCCCUGAGCACUUUUCAUAUUCAUGUAAAAUUUGCUUUAAUGAUCUUGCGUGUGACAGCCCUAAAGUGACCCUAGUCGGAAAGCGGUUUCGGGACUGCUAAAUUGAGUCACCAAAUUAUUUAAAUAUGAUAUUUAUUGUCUAAAAUAUGUGAAUAUGAAUGUGUGAAAGUUUGAAGUUUCGAUUUAGUUAAUUGCAUGUGAAUUUAGUUAAUAGGACUUAUGUGUGACACUUUUGAAAUGUGAUAGGUUAAUCUAUAAGGAUCUAUUAGUGCUUGUAAUAAAAAAGGUGGACUUGCAUGUCAACCCCCCCCCAAUUAGUAGUGGCCGGCCAUGAGCAUGAGGGUGGACAAAAUGUUAUGGCUAAAACAUGUCAUAAACAUGUUGGGUUAAUGCUUUAUGUUAGGAAUAAUAAAAUAAAGAACAUGGGCAAUAAAAUAUUAGUGUUAGUAGGAGGAGAAACAAAAAAAAAAUGUGUGUGGUUCUCUCAUUUUGCCGUAACUAGAAGAAAAAAAGGGGCUUUAUUCUUUGGUUCUUCUUGGCCGAAUUGAAGAAAGGAAGAAGAGAGGUUUCGGUCACCUUGAGCUUAAGGGGAGGUUAGUAUGUUGUGUUAGAUUCUCAAAUUUUAAACUCGUUUCUAGUUAAUUAGCUAAUUUCUUACACAACCCAUGGCAAAAUUUCGAAAGGUUGGUGAUGGCUUGAGCAUUCGGUUUUAGUUAUUAAAGGAUGAGAUUGAGUUAUAAUCUUUAUGUUUUAUGAAGAAUUGUUGAAGAGAAGGGUUUAAGUAGUCAAAUUAUAAAUUUUAAUGCUCAUGAGUACAAUGGCCAAACAUAGAUUUGUCUAAAGAAUUGAACAAAUGCCGUGUGAGUGAUUGAAAUGAAUGAGUUGGAGGUUGGAUCAUGUUAAGAUUCGGCCUUGUACAUAAACAUUAAGAGUUUGAUGUUUUUGUGAUUUUUGGAAGGUAAAUAAGGUUAUACACAAGAUAAAUACUAAGAUUUUGGUUGACUUGUUUUUAGUGAGGUUCGGCCAAGGACCUUAUGUGCAAGUUUAUUCGGUUUAAGUAGAGUAAACGUGACGGGUAGAUAUGAAGUAAUGUGUAUAUUGGUUCGGCUGCUAAGCAAGGAAAUAAUUGUUGGUAACAUAGUAUCUAUGCACUUAGGAAUAUAUAUAUGGUAUUUUAAGUAUAAUUGUUCAUCGAUAAGGUUGGUUAAUAGUUCAAGUAAGGAUUACUAUAUUUGAUAUGUACAUGAAUUGAGGCAAUAGGUUCGGCAAUUAGCUUAAGACAUACGGGUAAUAUCAUACGUCCGAUCAUAGUUAAACAUUCGAUAAUUUUGAUUCUUUGGCUACAAUGUUUGAAUAUCGCCAUGGGGAGAAUAUAUGAUCGGUUGCCUAAUAUUAGUUCGAAAUGAAUCUAAAUAAAUAGAUAUUUGUAUAUAGUAAAGUUGGAUAAGUAAUUGAAUAAAUUUAUUUGUUUAUUAAGUUCAAGAGCUUAGAGGAUCAAAGUUGGAUAAGGGAAAGAAAAAAGUGAUCGAAUAGCUGUCGAAAUCGUUCGACCACAUCUGAGGUAAGUUUUUGAGUAAUGGAUCUUAGAUUAUGAUUCGAUUAGAUCAUGUUUUAAGUAAAUUAAAAUCAUGCUCUUUGUAUGUAACUAUUGAGCCGAAAAUGAUAAUGCUUAAUAAGUGAUUUGUGUUUGAAUUCUAGUUAUGAAAAUGAAAUAUAGAAGUGUCAUGAUUUAUUGAUAUGUGUAUGGAUAUUUGGAUGAUAACCGGGCUAAAGUCCCGAAGGCAUGUGUGCUAGUGACUAUAUACGGGUUAAGUCCCGAAGGCAUUUGUGCGAGUUACUAUAAUCGGGCUAAGUCCCGAAGGCAUUUGUGCGAGUUACUAUAACCGGGCUAGUCCCGAAGGCAUUUGAGCAAGUAGAUAUAUCCGGCUAAAUUUCGAAGGUACUUGGUUGGGAAUGAGCGAUCUUGCUGUAAUAAUUUCAACUAAUACGCAUGUAAAAUCCCAACGAUGAGGUACGUUUCGUAUAUGCAUUUGAGUAGUGAUUCCGUUUAAAUAUUAUUCGCUCAGUCGAUUAAUGAGCUUUGGGCCUUUGGUUAAGUUGAUCCCUUAUGUAUGAAUAUAAGGGUUGGAAAUGUGAAGUAGGACUGAUUUUUGAAAAUAUGUGUAUAUGAGAUUAUCCGUUUAGUUAUAUGAAUGCUAUACUUCAGUUGUGCCUAAUUUCAUUGCUCAAAACUUACUAAGCAUUAAAUGUUUAUUCCGUAUCUUUGAUUAUCUGUUUUAUAGAUUUUGGUUCGUCAGCUAUCGGACUCGAGAUUGUCGAAGUCGAAGUCGUCCACACUAUCAAAGCCUUUUUGGUACACUUUUGGUUGAACUCUGAAAAUAGCAUGUAUAGGACUACCUUUUUUGUUGUUGGUCAUGUACCUUUUGGUUUUGUAUAAAUUUGGAUAGCCAUGCGAAAACGACUUAUAUACACUUUGAGCAUAGCAUUAUAAUCGUUUUGUAUGUUCAUUAAGAGGUAUGGAAAUGUUUGGUAAUGAUUAGCCAUUGGGAAUGGUUAAUUACGAUUAUUUUGAUGCUAUGUAUGACAAACUCUAGUUGAUACAUGGAAAACCAUGAAAUGGGU